GAUGAACGCUGGCGGCGUGCCUAAUACAUGCAAGUCGAACGCAUAGCGAAAGGUGCUUGCACCUUUCAAGUGAGUGGCGAACGGGUGAGUAACACGUGGACAACCUGCCUCAAGGCUGGGGAUAACAUUUGGAAACAGAUGCUAAUACCGAAUAAAACUUAGUGUCGCAUGACACAAAGUUAAAAGGCGCUUCGGCGUCACCUAGAGAUGGAUCCGCGGUGCAUUAGUUAGUUGGUGGGGUAAAGGCCUACCAAGACAAUGAUGCAUAGCCGAGUUGAGAGACUGAUCGGCCACAUUGGGACUGAGACACGGCCCAAACUCCUACGGGAGGCUGCAGUAGGGAAUCUUCCACAAUGGGCGAAAGCCUGAUGGAGCAACGCCGCGUGUGUGAUGAAGGCUUUCGGGUCGUAAAGCAUUGUUGUAUGGGAAGAACAGCUAGAAUAGGAAAUGAUUUUAGUUUGACGGUACCAUACCAGAAAGGGACGGCUAAAUACGUG
rnacentral:rRNA from 1 species